AUGAGUCGACCUGGUGGGAUCAACAUCCCCGAUGGCAAGUUCUACCUUGGAGAUGCUGGCUAUGCAUGUCGGCCGGGUAUUCUUCCACCCUUCAGGAAAACUAGGUACCAUCUCAACGAGUUCUCUGGUAGGAACUAUCCUAGGACUGCACAUGAGCUGUUUAAUCUCAGACACUCCAGCCUUAAAGUAACUGUUGAGAGGGCAUUUGGAGCUCUGAAGAAUAGGUUUAAGAUCUUGGAUCAGAAGCCAUUCCACCCAUACUCCACUUAUGUUAAGCUUGUUCUUGCUUAUUGCAUUCUGCAUAACUGGAUCCUCCAGCGGGGCUUUGAUGAACACGUGCCUGAGGAGGAAGAGGUCGAGGCUGACGUUGUUGUUAGCUCUGGCCAUGGUGUGGAGGCAUUUGAUAAUGACGCUUGGAAGAACAAAAGGUUGGAGUGGGCAGAGGCAAUGUGGCUUAACAGAGGUCAGUGCAAGAUUUGA
rnacentral:rRNA from 1 species